rnacentral:rRNA from 1 species
UACGUAGGGCGCGAGCGUUGUCCGGAUUUAUUGGGCGUAAAGAGCUCGUAGGCGGCUUGUCGCGUCGAAUGUGAAAUCUCAGGGCUCAACUCUGACAUUGCAUUCGAUACGGGCAGGCUCGAGUUCGGUAGGGGAGACUGGAAUUCCUGGUGUAGCGGUGAAAUGCGCAGAUAUCAGGAGGAACACCGGUGGCGAAGGCGGGUCUCUGGGCCGAUACUGACGCUGAGGAGCGAAAGCGUGGGGAGCGAACAGG